rnacentral:tRNA from 1 species
GGACCCUUAGCUCAGUGGUAGAGCUUUGUACUUAUGUGGUUAACUGAUUCGCUUGAGCACUUCCAAUGCAAAGGUCCCGAGUUCAACCCUCGGAGGGUCCA